GACUGGUGAGCUCAGUGGUGGAGCACUUGCCUGGCAAGCCUGAGGCUCUGGGUUCAGUUCCCCAGCAUCAGCCA
rnacentral:tRNA from 1 species